rnacentral:rRNA from 1 species
AUUGAACGCUGGCGGCAGGCCUAACACAUGCAAGUCGAGCGGCAGCGGGAAAGUAGCUUGCUACUUUUGCCGGCGAGCGGCGGACGGGCGAGUAAUGCCUGGGGAUCUGCCCAGUCGAGGGGGAUAACUACUGGAAACGGUAGCUAAUACCGCAUACGCCCUACGGGGGAAAGCAGGGGACCUUCGGGCCUUGCGCGAUUGGAUGAACCCGGGUGGGAUUAGCUAGUUGGUGAGGUAAUGGCUCACCAAGGCGACGAUCCCUAGCUGGUCUGAGAGGAUGAUCAGCCACACUGGAACUGAGACACGGUCCAGACUCCUACGGGAGGCAGCAGUGGGGAAUAUUGCACAAUGGGGGAAACCCUGAUGCAGCCAUGCCGCGUGUGUGAAGAAGGCCUUCGGGUUGUAAAGCACUUUCAGCGAGGAGGAAAGGUUGGUAGCUAAUAACUGCCAGCUGUGACGUUACUCGCAGAAGAAGCACCGGCUAACUCCGUGCCAGCCGCCGCCGUAAGAC